UAUAGUCUUUAUAUUAUUUUCAGUUCAAACGGUAAAUAAUAAAUAGCACAAUUAUUAUUGUUGACAAAUUUAAUAAAUAAUAAUCUAGUCAACUAUUCUGUUGUUCAAAAGCCUUUGUUGAACGGUUCACGUUUAAAUGCGCACUUUUCAAUUAAAAUAUUAAAAUAAUUCAAAUUAGAGAUUUUUGUUUUUACCAGUAAAUUCUUAUCAAAACAGUUCGCUUUUGAACAACCACAAAAAUAAUAAUUAUAUUUUUGCUGUAGUUUUUAAUCGACAUAUUUGAAAAAUUAUGAGGGUAAAGUAAAUCGAUACAAAGUGAGUUCUUACAUGUUAAAGUUAACAUUAACGUUUUUAAUUGCGUAAAAAAAUAAAAAUAAACCUGAGCAAUAGAAUUAAUGUGCAACGCCUAUAAUUUUCUCUACCAGCUGUGUGCGUUUAUAAAUUAUUUAGCAUGCAUGGUGGAUCAAUAAAAACACAUUAGUAAUAAAUUAGUAGCAUUAAACUUAUUUUUUCAUUUGAAACGUAAAUCAUUCGAUGAAACAAGAGAAUUCAUUAAAAAAUGUACAAUAAUGUACGAAAAAUGUGAAUACAACCACAAUGUUAUAGUUUAUAAAUUGUUUACAUUAGGAUUGAUGUGAUUUUUUCAAUGUGUUUACUGGUGUACACCAGGAAAAGGAUGCUGCUAUAUGAUGAAAUUCCGAAACAAAAUCAACCAAAUAUGAAUUUCCGGAAAGUCAGUUUAUUUCAAUUUUAUAUCGGAUAUGUCGGCUAGUUUUCUGUCUAAAAUGAAGUAUUUUCUGUUUGAGCAGUAGUAAAUAGCACCGAUUUGUCCCUAAAAAUGGUAGUCAAAAUCGAUUGGCGUUAUAUCACAAGUUCCGUCCGUUUAUUUUUCUUUGAAACUAAAAGUAUCUUAUGUCAUUUUGAAUCCAUUGGAUUAUGUAACGUAAUUUAAAGUCUACAUCGAAUACGAUAAAAAUAUAUGCAUAAAUCAUUUUGUGAAUUACACGUAUGAAACGUUUUCAAGAAACUAUUGAAAGUUAGAAUAUUUUUUCAGGUAAGAGUAAGUAUUAAAUAAGAGUAAUACUAAGUAAAGAGUUAACUACUAUUUAAGCUAAAUGAAUAAAAUAAAUUUCGUAUACGAAUAAGUUAUAAACGAUUUACUUUUCAAAUAAUUACUAUUUGAAAAAUCAUAUUAAAACAUUAUUCCCUAUUUCAGUAAUAUGUUUUAUGCAAUGCUCACUUAAUAUAUUGUGUACCUAAGAUGAUUUUAGGCAUACUGUCAAAAUCAAUAUUUGCAAUAUCAUAAUAACUGUGAUAUUACACUAGGUCAAUAUUUAUUUAUUUUGCAUGAUACUAAUUCUAGUAGCUCAAAUUUAUUUUGACCUGGUUAUUUAAAUUUUUAGUUAAAACGAGUUGUGUAUACUGACGUGUUAUUGUUCCUCUAUUGGUGUUGUAGCCCUAACACUGUUGCAAUAACUUUUUAUGUGCAGUCGUUUUUUGUUAAUUUAAAGCAUAUUUAACAAUAUUUUACCAACACACAUUUUAAAUUCACUAAUUUAUGCAUAAAAGUACAUGCUUCUAUUUUUUUUUUUUUUUUUGUUAAAAUCUCUUCAUUUGAAUUUCCUAAUCCUCUGUACAACAAUAUUAAGCACGUUUCAAAUUAUUCAAUUAUUUUUUAUACAGCAAAUCCACAAUGUUGUGUUGAUUUUAAACUUCUCAUAAAUGUAUUAUCAGUAUAAUAUGUUUAUGUAGUAUAUUCACUUGAAUAGAAGAUUUUUGAAAUUUUUAAUGGCUCAUUAGUAUAAUAAUUCUUUAAUAUUUAGUGAAUAAGAUAUUACUGAAUAAUUUUUAACAAUUUUAAU